rnacentral:rRNA from 1 species
AGAGUUUGAUCCUGGCUCAGGAUGAACGCUAGCUACAGGCUUAACACAUGCAAGUCGAGGGGCAGCAUGGUCUUAGCUUGCUAAGGCUGAUGGCGACCGGCGCACGGGUGAGUAACACGUAUCCAACCUGCCGUCUACUCUUGGCCAGCCUUCUGAAAGGAAGAUUAAUCCAGGAUGGGAUCAUGAGUUCACAUGUCCGCAUGAUUAAAGGUAUUUUCCGGUAGACGAUGGGGAUGCGUUCCAUUAGAUAGUAGGCGGGGUAACGGCCCACCUAGUCAACGAUGGAUAGGGGUUCUGAGAGGAAGGUCCCCCACAUUGGAACUGAGACACGGUCCAAACUCCUACGGGAGGCAGCAGUGAGGAAUAUUGGUCAAUGGGCGAUGGCCUGAACCAGCCAAGUAGCGUGAAGGAUGACUGCCCUAUGGGUUGUAAACUUCUUUUAUAAAGGAAUAAAGUCGGGUAUGCAUACCCGUUUGCAUGUACUUUAUGAAUAAGGAUCGGCUAACUCCGUGCCAGCAGCCGCGGUAAUACGGAGGAUCCGAGCGUUAUCCGGAUUUAUUGGGUUUAAAGGGAGCGUAGAUGGAUGUUUAAGUCAGUUGUGAAAGUUUGCGGCUCAACCGUAAAAUUGCAGUUGAUACUGGAUGUCUUGAGUGCAGUUGAGGCAGGCGGAAUUCGUGGUGUAGCGGUGAAAUGCUUAGAUAUCACGAAGAACUCCGAUUGCGAAGGCAGCCUGCUAAGCUGCAACUGACAUUGAGGCUCGAAAGUGUGGGUAUCAAACAGGAUUAGAUACCCUGGUAGUCCACACGGUAAACGAUGAAUACUCGCUGUUUGCGAUAUACGGCAAGCGGCCAAGCGAAAGCGUUAAGUAUUCCACCUGGGGAGUACGCCGGCAACGGUGAAACUCAAAGGAAUUGACGGGGGCCCGCACAAGCGGAGGAACAUGUGGUUUAAUUCGAUGAUACGCGAGGAACCUUACCCGGGCUUAAAU